AGAGACAGCAGCAGCCGCGGUAAUACGGAGGAUCCAAGCGUUAUCCGGAUUUAUUGGGUUUAAAGGGUGCGUAGGUGGCCUGUUAAGUCAGGGGUGAAAGACGGUAGCUCAACUAUCGCAGUGCCCUUGAUACUGAUGGGCUUGAAUGAACUAGAGGUAGGCGGAAUGUGACAAGUAGCGGUGAAAUGCAUAGAUAUGUCACAGAACACCAAUUGCGAAGGCAGCUUACUAUGGUUUUAUUGACACUGAGGCACGAAAGCGUGGGGAUCAAACAGGAUUAGAGACCCGCGUAGUCCCUGUCUCUUAUAC
rnacentral:rRNA from 1 species